rnacentral:lncRNA from 1 species
AGGCUGGAGUGCAAUGGCAUGAUCUGGGCUCACUGCAACAUCCACCUCCCUGAUUCAAGCAAUUCUCCUGCCUUAGCCUCCUGAGUACCCUGGGAUUACAGGAAGUUCAAGCUGCUAGAUGGACAGGUCAAAUGAAGAAACAGAUGCCUGACCACUACUAAGCUGUAACUGAUACUGCAGUUGAGAUACAAGAUGUGAAUCUAAAAGAAAUCACCUCGGAUGUCUAGCCCUGUCCUCAAAUAAUUUCAGCUCGGCUGUCUCAUGACUACAACCAUACAAGAAACCCCAACAGCCAACAUAUGGAAACAACCUAAAUGUCUGUCGACAGGUGAAUGAAUAAAGAAAAUGUGGUAUAUACAUACAGCAGAAUAUUGUUCAGUCUUAAAAAAGAAGGAAACCUUACAAUAUGCAGCAUCAUGAAUGAACAUGGAGGACAUUAUGCUAAAUGAAAUAAGCCAGUCACAGAAGGAACAGACACUGCCUGAUUCCAAUCGUAGGAGAUAACUAGUAUUGUCAAAUUUAUAAAAUUGACAAGAGAAUGGUAGUUGCUAGUGGGUGAGCAGAGGGGAAGAUGAGGAGUUAUUGUUGAAUGUGUAUAAAGUUUUAAUUAUGCAAGAUGAGUAAGUUCUAGCGAUCUAUUGUACAACCUUGUGCCUAUAGUUAACAAUGAUGUAUUGUGGAUGUAAAAAUUUGUUAAAGAGGAUACAUCUCAUAUUGUUUUCUUACCACAGUAAAAAAAAAAAGAAACAAAUAAACAAGAAUGUAUAUAGUACUGAAAACUGUAUGUCUGAUGAUUAAAAAUUAAGAAUAUCCUCAAUACCACAUAAUUUACACAAUAGAUACAAAAGGUGUUGGCAACAAAGCAUGUCUGUCAACUUGGCUUAAAUUUUAAUCAUAAUCUCUCAAAGUCUUGAGAGAAGGCUAUGUUUUGUUCGUGUCAUUGUUAUUGUUGUUGUUUGACUCUAAAGAAUAAAUGAGAUCUUGGUAAAUUUUUGUUAUAUGCAAUACGUAUCUAAG